CCUACGGGUGGCAGCAGUGGGGAAUAUUGCACAAUGGGGGAAACCCUGAUGCAGCAACGCCGCGUGAGUGAAGAAGUUUUUAGGUAUGUAAAGCCCUAUUAGCAGGGAAGAAGAUCGCCGUUACCUGCCUAUACAGCCCGGGCUAACUACGUCCCAGCAGCCGCGUUAAUACGUAGGGGGCAAGCGUUCUCCGGAUCUCCUGGGUGUAAAGGGAGCGUAGACGGCUGUGGAAGUCUGAAGUGAAAGCCCGUGGCUCAACCGCGGAACUGCUUUGGAAACUGUAUGGCUGGAGUGCGGGAGAGGCAGGUGGAAUUCCUGGUGUAGGGGUGAAAUGCGUAGAUAUUAGGAGGAACACCAGUGGCGAAGGCGGCCUGCUGGACAGAAACUGACGUUGAGGCUCGAAAGCGUGGGGAGCAAACAGGAUUAGAUACCCUAGUAGUC
rnacentral:rRNA from 1 species